UACGUAGGGUGCAAGCGUUAAUCGGAAUUACUGGGCGUAAAGCGUGCGCAGGCGGUCCGUUAAGACAGAUGUGAAAUCCCCGGGCUUAACCUGGGAACUGCAUUUGUGACUGGCGGACUCGAGUAUGGCAGAGGGGGGUAGAAUUCCACGUGUAGCAGUGAAAUGCGCAGAUAUCAGGAGGGAACACCCGAGUGGCGAAGGCAGGUCUCUGGGC
rnacentral:rRNA from 1 species